rnacentral:rRNA from 1 species
UUGAACUGGAGAGUUUGAUCCUGGCUCAGAACGAACGCUGGCGGCGUGCCUAACACAUGCAAGUCGAGCGAGAAAGGUCCCUUCUGGGGCUGAGUAAAGCGGCGGACGGGUGAGUAACACGUGGGUAACCUGCCCUUGGGUCUGGGACAACAUCCCGAAAGGGGUGCUAAUACCGGAUAAGACCACGGCCUCUUCGGGGGCUGGGGUAAAAGGUGGCCUCUGCAUGCAAGCUAUCGCCCGAGGAGGGGCCCGCGCCCCAUCAGCUUGUUGGUGAGGUAACGGCUCACCAAGGCUAAGACGGGUAGCCGGUCUGAGAGGAUGAUCGGCCACACUGGAACUGAGACACGGUCCAGACUCCUACGGGAGGCAGCAGUGGGGAAUAUUGCGCAAUGGGCGAAAGCCUGACGCAGCGACGCCGCGUGAGUGAUGAAGGCCUUCGGGUCGUAAAGC